UACGGGGGGGGUAAGCGUUGUUCGGAAUUACUGGGCGUAAAGGGCUCGUAGGCGGCCAACUAAGUCGGACGUGAAGUCCCUCAGCUUAACUGGGGAACUGCGUCCGAUACUGGAUGGCUUGGAUUCGGGAGAGGAAUGCGGAAUUCCAGGUGUAGCGGUGAAAUGCGUAGAUAUCUGGAGGAACACCGGUGGCGAAGGCGGCAUUCUGGACCGACAUUGACGCUGAGGAGCGAAAGCCAGGGGAGCAAACGGG
rnacentral:rRNA from 1 species